rnacentral:sRNA from 1 species
UAUUCGCAAGAAUAGUCCUGUCCGUAAU